rnacentral:rRNA from 1 species
AGAGUUUGAUCCUGGCUCAGGAUGAAUGCUGGCGGCGUGCCUAACACAUGCAAGUCGAGCGGCAGCGAGUUUUACACUGAAUUCUGGAAGCUUCUGGGUAAUAUAGAAGAUUUAUUCAAGAAUUUUGUGUAAAAUGUCGGCGAGCGGCGGACGGCUGAGUAACGCGUAGGAAUUUGCCCCAAAGUGAGGAAUAACUGCCCGAAAGGGUAGCUAAUGCCGCAUAUGGUCUUCGGAUUAAAGCCUUCGGGCGCUUUGGGAGAAGCCUGCGUUGGAUUAGGUAGUUGGUAGGGUAAUGGCCUACCAAGCCGACGAUCCAUAGCUGGUCUGAGAGGAUGAUCAGCCAGACUGGAACUGAGACACGGUCCAGACUCCUACGGGAGGCAGCAGUGAGGAAUCUUCCACAAUGGGCGAAAGCCUGAUGGAGCAACGCCGCGUGAAGGAUGAAGGCCUUCGGGUUGUAAACUUCUUUUAUGAGUGAAGAAUAUGACGGUAACUCAUGAAUAAGCACCGGCUAACUACGUGCCAGCAGCCGCGGUCAUACGUAGGGUGCAAGCAUUAUCCGGAGUGACUGGGCGUAAAGAGUUGCGUAGGCGGUUUAAUAAGUGAAUAGUGAAACCUGGUGGCUCAACCAUACAGACUAUUAUUCAAACUGUUAAACUCGAGAAUGGUAGAGGUAACUGGAAUUUCUAGUGUAGGAGUGAAAUCCGUAGAUAUUAGAAGGAACACCGAUGGCGUAGGCAGGUUACUGGGCCAUUUCUGACGCUAAGGCACGAAAGCGUGGGGAGCGAACCGGAUUAGAUACCCGGGUAGUCCACGCCGUAAACGAUGGAUACUAGCUGU